CCACCGCGCUUCGUCAAGCCCACGCCCGCGGCACCCUCCGCGCCUCUCGCGGGCAGCGGCCCAGUCCUCUCCCGGGAAGGGGCGCGCGGUCGCCAGCCAGCCGAGAAUUCCAUGCACGAACCUAUUCCCUCUCCCCGCGCUUCAGACACCUCUCUCAUCGGAAAACCGCGUGAAGGGAAGCAGGCACUCAGCAGAGGACCCUGGCUCAAUUAGUCAGGCACUGUCUCCAGUUAUUGGGGAAUACAAUCGUGCCAAUUGAGUCAUAAAUGGAAAAAAAAAAAUUCCAAACCCGGGAGGCUGGCGAGGACCGCAGGCUGCAGGGCCACUUCCCUUUGGGCUCUGCGAGGUCGCUGGGGAAGGGGGAGAGAAGACCUCAGUUCUCCUGCCUGGUGCCAGGCGCUGUGCCACGGAAGGAAGGCGGGCACUCACUGCCCGGGUGAGCCCAGGAGGGAAGAGAGAGUGUGUGCGUGUGUGCGUGAGUGUGUGGGUGUUGGCGUGUGGGGGCUGUAGCGUGUGAUGGGGGCGGGUGUGAAAGGGGGAGCGGGUGGGUGAGGGUAUGCCCCUCUUCGGAGCCGCCCCGGGUGCCCUCUCCCUCCGCCGCCGGCGCUGCCCGCCGUUUCACCACCUUUGCCCCUGUCUCCCCACAUGUCUCACCUUCAGAUGACGGCUCCCAGAAGCUCCUGCCCCUCUGACAGCUGUCGCUUGGGCAGCCCGGGGAGACGAAUUGUCCUCCUCCCUGGUGCUAGAGGACGCAGGAAAUUAGCCAGGUUGCGAAUUGCGAAGCGGCCGCCGAGGCGCCGAGACCUGGGCGCGCCCCACCUCCAGCGGGAGCGGCCGGGCCGGGCCGGGCCGGGGCCUCGCCUCGCUCGCCAUCGCCGGACAAAGCGCAGCCGAGCCGGGCUGGAAGGCAGAGCUCCGAAGCAGGCAGGACGGAGCAGAGCAAAAGAAUGCGGCUCUAUUCUCGCAAGGGAAAUUAUAAAAAAGUUCAUGUUCACGGUUCCCAUCCACAUGACCGACAGCGGCCAAUGGAAGGGCCGAACAACUCAUAAAGUUGUAUUGCAAAGUUGUAAAUUUUCAUAAACAACAACGGAUUUAUGACCCUUUCCCCAUCACUAAGAGGAGGCAGCUCUUACACCGGCGCCAUCUUACCACCGAGGCCGCCCCGACUUGGGGCCGCAGGUUUUACAGACCCAUUUGGGCCGGGUUUUAUUAAAAGAGCAAUAAGAAGCGGGCCCAACCCAAGCGGGAGACCGGAGUCGAGGUCCUCGCCCGCCGGAGCUCACACUGUUCUGCUCUGUCCCCACCGCCCUGGCCCCUUUCCCGGCCCCUCAUCCUUCUCCGCAUCCAGAUGCCCCGACCGGCUGGGGUUUCACGGUCUCCAAAGACGCUU